UUUAGUUAUUGUUCAAGUGAUUCGACUAGAAACAUGUCUAAGCAAUUGAUGGUUUGUUUGAUUUUGGUUGCGGUUUUGGGAGACCGAUUCAUGCAAAUUGAAGGCGGACCUGGGUUUUUAGCCAAAGCAAAGGCAGGAAUAAUGGGCGGUAAGAUUAAA